rnacentral:lncRNA from 1 species
AAAACAAUCUAGGUCUGAAGCUAAAUCAAAACUCCAGAUCCCAGUUUCACCCAUCUCCUCUAUCCCAGAGGGAGUGGAUAUUCUGCUGAACACUUGCCUGCAGAGUUAAAUAAGAUAAGAAGCUGGAAUCUUUUUGAAUGCAGACCGUAAAACAUAAUUGGAGGAAUCUCCACAGACAGUAUAAAAUAUUGUAUCCUGUCUCACACAGAUGGGAUUAUUUAGCCUUCACACAACCUUCAAAUAAUGUGUUGUGCUCCUUUUAAUCAAUCCAUAAUUCAAAGAGGACAUCUUGCAGCCUCCAGAGGUUUUUCACUAUGACAAUAGAUGAGGGCAGGCUAAGGCGAGGUAUGUUUUAUUAUGAAAGUCGAAGUCGGCUUGGGCCAUAAUUUUAUAAAUCUCAUUAGUGAUUAUAGUUUCUUAUUUCCAGGUAUGAUAAAAUACCAGUUUUACUUUGUAAAUGUAUCUCAGCCAGGAGGAGGGAUCCCAGGGCCUCUCUACCAGGUACCAGGAACAAAAGGUGUGGGAGACUGUGCCAGUGAUAAUAAUGCUGUCCUUUGCUUACAAGCAGCACAUAAUGAAAGGUCAGAGAGCAGAGGAGUCUCUCUCUGAGUCCUCCAGGAAGAGAAAGGCAAGGAGUUUUGUGAAUGCCAAAAUAAUGGCCUUUCUCUGCUUCUCAUGCUAUGAUGCCUGUGUAAGGCCCAGUGACAUAUAAAUUAGGAAUACAAAUUUCUUGCAAUCACCAACUGCACAUGUGCUUGCAGAGGCUGAACUGCAGACUCUUGGACAGCUUAAGCUGCAGUUGGAGAAACCCCUAGCAGAAGACAGUAAAUCUUCUACCAUCAGUCAGUCAACUAAGCAUUUGCGCCCAUGUGGUCAUGGAUCUCAGCUGUGAUAAGAGGCAAUGAAGAGACAUGGAGGCAUUUUAAGCAAGAAAAUGGUAAGAACAUGUCAGAGGCAUUUGAACCAAAGCAACUCCAUCUUGAAUAGGAGCUCGGUAAAAUAAGGCUGAGAACUGCUGGGCUGCAUUUCCAGCAGGUUUGGCAUUCUUAGUCACAGGAUGAGAGAGGAGGUCAAUACAAGAUACAAGUCACAAAGACCUUGCUGAUAAAAGAGGACAUAGUAAAUAAACCGAUCAAAACCCACAAAAAGCAAGAUGGUGCUGAAAGUGACCUCUGGUCAUCCUCACUGCUUAUUAUACACUAAUUAUAAUGCAUGCGCAUGCUAAAAGACACUCCCACCUGUGCCACGACAGUUUACAAAUACCAUGGCAAUGUCAGGAAGUUACCCUAUAUGGUCUAAAAAGGGGAGGAAGCCUCAGUUCCGGGAAUUGCCAACCCUUUUCCAGAAAAACUCAUGAAUAAUCCACCCCUUGUUUAGCAUAUAAUCAAGAAAUAACCAUACGUAUACUCAGCGGAGCAGCCCAUGCCACUGUUCUGCCUAUGGAGUAGCCAUUCUC